rnacentral:rRNA from 1 species
GACGAACGCUGGCGGCGUGCUUAACACAUGCAAGUCGAACGGAAAGGCCCUGCUUUUGUGGGGUGCUCGAGUGGCGAACGGGUGAGUAACGCGUGAGUAACCUGCCCUUGACUUUGGGAUAACUUCAGGAAACUGGGGCUAAUACCGGAUAGGAGCUCCUGCUGCAUGGUGGGGGUUGGAAAGUUUCGGCGGUUGGGGAUGGACUCGCGGCUUAUCAGCUUGUUGGUGGGGUAGUGGCUUACCAAGGCUUUGACGGGUAGCCGGCCUGAGAGGGUGACCGGCCACAUUGGGACUGAGAUACGGCCCAGACUCCUACGGGAGGCAGCAGUGGGGAAUAUUGCACAAUGGGCGGAAGCCUGAUGCAGCAACGCCGCGUGCGGGAUGACGGCCUUCGGGUUGUAAACCGCCUUCGCCUGUGACGAAGCGUGAGUGACGGUAAUGGGUAAAGAAGCACCGGCUAACUACGUG